rnacentral:rRNA from 1 species
UACGUAGGGUGCAAGCGUUGUCCGGAAUUAUUGGGCGUAAAGAGCUCGUAGGCGGUCUGUCGCGUCGGCUGUGAAAUCCCGAGGCUCAACCUCGGGUCUGCAGUCGAUACGGGCAAACUAGAGUAUUGCAGGGGAGACUGGAAUUCCUGGUGUAGCGGUGAAAUGCGCAGAUAUCAGGAGGAACACCGGUGGCGAAGGCGGGUCUCUGGGCAAUAACUGACGCUGAGGAGCGAAAGCGUGGGGAGCAAACAGG